AAUGUCCUACGGGAGGCAGCAGUGAGGAAUAUUGGUCAAUGGGCGGAAGCCUGAACCAGCCAGGUCGCGUGAGGGAAGAAGGCCCUGCGGGUCGCAGACCUCUUUGGACGGGGAGCAAGGCCGCCGACGUGUCGGCGGAAGGAGAGUACCCGUAGAACAAGCAUCGGCUAACUCCGUGCCAGCAGCCGCGGUAAUACGUAGGUGGCAAGCGUUGUCCGGAUUUACUGGGUGUAAAGGGCGUGCAGCCGGACCGACAAGUCAGAUGUGAAAUCCGCGGGCUUAACCCGCGAACUGCAUUUGAAACU
rnacentral:rRNA from 1 species